UAUUGGACAAUGGGUUAGCGCCUGAUCCAGCCAUCCCGCGUGAAGGAAUAAGGUCCUAUGGAUUGUAAACUUCUUUUGUACCGGGAUACACCUACCCUCGCGAGGGUAGCUGAAGGUACUGUACGAAUAAGCACCGGCUAACUCCGUGCCAGCAGCCGCGGUAAUACGGAGGGUGCAAGCGUUAUCCGGAUUUAUUGGGUUUAAAGGGUCCGUAGGCGGAUCCGUAAGUCAGUGGUGAAAUCUCACAGCUUAACUGUGAAACUGCCAUCGAUACUGCGGGUCUUGAGUAAGGUAGAAGUGGCUGGAAUAAGUAGUGUAGCGGUGAAAUGCAUAGAUACUACUUAGAACACCAAUUGUGAAGGCAGGUCACUAUGUCUUAACUGACGCUGAUGGACGAAAGCGUGGGGAGCGAACAG
rnacentral:rRNA from 1 species